rnacentral:lncRNA from 1 species
UUUGGCACCUCCCCUGCUCCUUGCUCCUAUUUUUUGCCGUGAAAUGUGGCUGCUCCCUGUUUGCCUUCCACCAUGACUGGAAGCUUCUUGAGGCCUCCCUGGAAGCAGAUGCUGCUAUGCUUCCUGCACAGCCUACAGAACCAUGAGCCGAUUAAACCUCUUUUCUUAUAAAUUACUCAGUCUUAGGUAUUUCUUUAUAGCAAUGCAAGAACAGUUUGAUACAGUGAAUAAUGCUGCCAUAAACAUGGAUAUACAAAAUAUUUAUUUGAGAUUCUGCUUUCCAUUCUUUUGGGUGUACACUCAGAAGUAGAAUUGCUGGAUCAUAUGGCAAUUCUAUUUUUAAUUUUUUGAGGAACCUAGGCUAAACUUUUGAAACUGCAGAUAUUGAACCAGUUUUAUUUUUACUAAAAAAGCAGAACUUUAAUACAGUGUAAUCUAUGUCUUCCAUCUCUCACUCUCUUGACUUCUCCAUAACCUUGUCCAAUGGAUAAAGAGGAAUCAACUUCUUUAUACAACAAUGGCAGAGAAGUUCUACAAUAUGGAGUCCUGUGAUAAAAGGUCUGCAGUGGUCACCACCAGCCUCCUCAAUGUUGUGCAGGUCCAGCUGACACACCCACCAGCUGGUGACCAGCAGAGUAGAGGAGGAGCAGGCACAGAGGACCUUCACCUUUCCCACCAGGUGCGGGCGCCAGUCAAGGUGGACUCCAGGGUCUGAUGCAGGCAUAAGAAGAUGUUGCGGCAGAUGUGCUGCUUGUUUUUAAAGCUCUGGAACACAACAAAGACGAGGUUUUCCGUAGACGUGUGCAUGAGUUUCAUAUAGAAAGGUUUCCUUUUUCCUAAAGUCUAGAAAACAAGUAAAUACCGAGUGAAUCACUGACCUCCCAGAAACUUUUCUAUGCACAUGGUAUGCACUGGUGGAGGGAGGUGACUGAGGCAGGGCAGCCGAGCAGAGUACUUAAAGCUGGUUUUGCCCAGUCUGUGGUAUGGGUACUCAUAAAGUAAGCGUGAUAAUUUGGGGGUCAUACACAGAUAUACAUUUACAAAUGUUAAUAGUGUGAUGUUUACACAUGGAAACAGAGAGAGGAACAACAGACAGACCCUGGGCCUAGCAGAGGGUGGAGGGUGUGAGGAGGGAGAGGAUCAGAAAACAUAAUUAACGUAUACUAGGCUUAACAUCUGGGCGACAAAAUAAUCUGUACAACAGGCUGGGCACGGUGGCUCAUGCCUGUAAUCCCAGCACUUUGGGAGGCCGAGGUAGGCGGAUCACUUGAAGUCAGGAGUUCGAGACCAGCCUGGCCAACAUGGCGAAACCCCAUCUCUACUAAAAAUACAAAAAUUAGCCAGGCGUGGUGCAUGUGCCUGUAAACCUAGCUACUCGGGAGGCUGAGGCAGGAGAGAAUUGCAUGAACCUUGGAGGUGGAGGUUGCAGUGAGCCAAGAUUGUGCCACUGCACUCCAGCCUGUGUGACACAGUGAGACUCCAUCAAAAAAAAUCUGUACAACAAACCCCCAUGACACAAGUUUAUCUAUAUAACAAAUCUGCACAUGUACUCCUGAACUUAAAAUAAAAGUUAAAUACUAAAAGAAAAAAAUAAAAAUAUAUUUUUCAAUGUAAUUUUACCUUUCAUAUCAAAAUAUGUGAAUAUAAAUAGACAUAAAAAAUAGUGUGAUGUUUACGUUAAUGUGCAUUAGAAUAAAGAUUUAAUACCAAUGUCUCAAAUUUGUGAUUAUUAUUGUAACAUUGUUAUAAAUGCUUAGGGUAAGUAAAGGAAAUGUUAGUCUUUUAAAAAUGGAAAUGUUAGGUUAAAUGACUAUAGGGGUCUUCCACUUCCAGUCAAGAUGGAGUAACAAGGACCAAAUUUAGCCUCCUGCCUGAAAGAGUCAAAAAUGUGAACAUACAUAUGAAGCAACAGUACUCAAGAUUUCGGGUACCAGGCAAUGAAGAAUAAGGAUCCCUAAUUGAUAAGAAACAAAUAAUGUGAACCCUGUGACCCCCUGAGCUCUUAUUACCUGGAGAACAUUUCUAGAUCAUGAUGGAGUGUUGGGGAGUGCAGGCAGAGCUGAGUGGUGGUUUUCCUGAUUCCAGAGCCAGAUUGGGAGUCCAGGGAAGCCAAGAUAACUGGAAUUCACAGGGCAGACUAAGAGAGAAAAGACUCGCACAGACAGUGUUCCAGAUAACUGACUAUGUAUAGAGGAGCCUGACCAGUGAUGCAUGGGAGGAAAUGAUCACAGGCUGGGAAAAAAGCAGCCAAAAAGAUUUGAGGGAACAAUCCCUGGAAACUACAGUUUUUUUUUUUUUUUUUUUCAAAAAAUGGUGCUGGAAACCCUACUAUCUAUGAGCACAAACAUACAAACCCUUUGAUCUAGAGCUCAUCCUAGAUACAAAAGUUCAUCCAAAAUGCAUCAAAGACCUAAAUGUAAAACAUACAACUGUAAAAUUUCUAGAAGAAAACAUGCAUUGUACUGAUUAUCCUUUGUAGUUCUGGGUUAGCCAAAGACUUUUUAGACACAACAGAAAAAGCACAACUCAUAAAAGAUAAAAAAUAAAUUGAGCUUUAUCAAAAUUAAGAACUUCUGCUCUUAGAAAGACGCUCUUAGGAGAAUUUUUUUUUAAGUCACAAACUGGGUAAAAUACUUGAAAAUCUCUUAUCUGCUAAAUGACUUGUCUUCACAAUAAAUAAAAAACUCAACAAUAAGAAAACCAACAACCUAAUACUGGACAAAAGAUUUGAAGAGACAUUUUACCAAAAAAGAUAUGUGGUUAGUAACUUAUGAAAAUAUGCUAAACAUCAUUAGUUAUGAGAGAAAUGAAAUUGAAACCAUAAUGAGAUACCAGUAAAUACCUAUUAGAAUGGCUAAAAUUAAAAAGACUGACCAUAGCAAGUGUUGACAAGUGUAUGGAGCAACUGGAACUCUCAUACAUUGUUUGUGGGAACAAACUAUGUUAAGUCAAUUUGAAAAACAGUUUUACAGUUCCCUAAAAAGUUAAAUAUACAACUACCCAAUGAUUCAGGCCUUUCACUGCUAGAUAUACAGGAGAAAUGAAAGCAUGUGGUCAUAUAAAGACUGGUACAGACAUUCAUAUAAGCUUUAGGUAUAACAGCCAAAUGUUGAAAACAACUCAAAUGUCCAUCAAGGCAAAUGGAUAAACAAAUUGUGAUAUAGCCAUACAAUGGUAAACUUCUCAGUCACAAAGGAAAUACAUUACUGAUACACACAACAACAUGGAUGGAUUUCAAAAUAAUUAUACUGAGCUAAUGAAACCAGAAGAGUACAAAAAGAUGAAAAGAGAGUGUAUAUUGAAUGUGUCCAUUAAUAUAAAAUUCUGGAAACUGCAAACUGAUCUGUAAUGAUAGAAAGAAGAUCCGUUAUUGUCUGUAGAUGAAAGUCAGAGAGAAGUGUGUGGGAGAGACUACAGAGUGGUACAAAGAAAUGUUUUGGAUUGGUUAAUGUGUUCAGCAUUUUGAUUGUGGUAAUGAGUGUAUAUGCAUGUCAAAACUCAUCAACCUGCAUACUUUAAACAUGUGCAGUUCACUGAAUAUCAAUUAUACCUCAAUGAAGCUGUUAAGAAAAUACGAAUAUAGCUUAAUAUGGCAAAAAUUUUGAAGGUGGAAUGACUAAAUUUUGCAAACAUCAUGAAAUUGUCCUAUUUUUUAUAAUUUCCCCAUCCUUCUUUCUUAUUCUCUUUUUCUUGUACCUCCUUCUUUUUUAUCCUCCUCUAUUUUCUCUAAGAAUAGGUGAUAAUAGUUUUG